AGCCGGGUCCUGCGCAACAGAGACUCGCGAACUCCGCCAGGUCCGGAAGGAAGCAACGGUAGUGAGUAACUUUGUGUGCCGCAGGGUGCCCGGCUAUC
rnacentral:SRP_RNA from 2 species